rnacentral:rRNA from 1 species
AUUGAACGCUGGCGGCAUGCUUUACACAUGCAAGUCGAACGGCAGCGCGGGCUUCGGCCUGGCGGCGAGUGGCGAACGGGUGAGUAAUGCAUCGGAACGUGCCCAGCAGUGGGGGAUAGCCCGGCGAAAGCCGGAUUAAUACCGCAUACGACCUGAGGGUGCAAGCGGGGGACCGAAAGGCCUCGCGCUAUUGGAGUGGCCGAUGUCGGAUCAGCUAGUUGGUGGGGUAAAGGCUUACCAAGGCGACGAUCCGUAGCUAGUCUGAGAGGACGACCAGCCACACUGGGACUGAGACACGGCCCAGGCUCCUACGGGAGGCAGCAGUGGGGAAUUUUGGACAAGGGGGGCAACCCUGAUCCAGCCAUGCCGCGUGCGGGAAGAAGGCCUUCGGGUUGUAAACCGCUUUUGUUCGGGAAGAAAUCCUCUGGGCUAAUACCCCGGGGGGAUGACGGUACCGGAAGAAUAAGCACCGGCUAACUACGU